rnacentral:rRNA from 1 species
UAUGUAGGUGGUGACUUAAAUCUGUUAUUCGAAAGACAAGUACGAUCAGUAUUUGAAGCGUAACUGACACUGGGUUGCUAGAGUUUGGGGGGUGUUUAUAGAAUUUUUCGAGGAGUGCUGAAAUGCUGAGAUACUGAAAGGACUGCUGAAUGUGGAAGCAUUAUUCAACCCCAUAACUGACACUGAGGUACGAAGGCGUUGGUAUCAAAUG